rnacentral:lncRNA from 12 species
GGCACAACUGUUCACAAAGAAAAUUGGCAAUAUCAAGCAGAUCUCUGGCAUCAGAGCUUCAACUGGUGUUCUUCGGUCCCUUCCCUGUCGCCACAGCAGCUCUGGGCUACCUGCACCUGCCUAGGACUCCCUGGCACCCUCACCAGUUUGCAUCUUGAGCCUCGGAAUCUCAUCGCCGUCGAGGGAGUUCUCUGGAAGCCUGCGGUGCACUGUGGCCACCUGGAAGAUUGGGAGAGGCCCCAGCGGCGGGGGCAGAGGCCGGCACCCCCACACCAGUGGGACAACGGGGACGCUUGCUGUACGUGGUUCCCUGACGGCGGACGGGGGGUGGGGGGGCUCAGUCCCAGGGCCCAGGGGGGACCCCGAGGCUCACGACCUUGCAGGGCUUCCUCCCAUCGCCCUGGUAACCACCGUCCUACUGUCCCCCUUAGGACCUCCAUCCUUUCACGGUCUCCUAAGGGUGGGAACGUGCAGUUCUGGCCCUGGCUUACCCAGUGCGCACGCUGUCCUCCAGCUUUAUUUGUGGGGUCCCAACCGGCAGGACGCCCCCCCUUUAUAAAGGCCGGAUAACGCUCGUACAUUCUCUGUCUCAGGGUCUGCUGCUGGAGCCCGGGGGCACUUCCCUGCCUCGGCCGGGAGCCCCGCGGCAGGGUGCGUGCGGGCGGCCGGCGCCCCAGGGAUUCACACCCGCGGUGGCACACUCAGAAGUGGGGUUGCUGGAGCCCACGCGAGUUCCAUUUGUA